CACUGGCGAUGAGGGUGGGAUCCUGGUGCUGCUCCAGUAACAGAAGGAAGUAGAAGUCAAGAGGCAUGGAGGGAACAUUGGCAGCUCCCAUUGGCUUCAGCUGGAGUUGUUGGUGCUUAGCAUUUCUGAAAAGCAAGCCCCAAGACAGAGGCAAGUGUAAUGAAGCUCAAGAAGGGUCACGAUGGGUUUGUCAUCGUUGCUCCGGCUAGAAUUAGAACGAAAUGCUGAGUUAUUGGAGCUACCUUUCAAAGAUUUCCAUCCUCUCAUCAAUAUAUAGCUCUGGACAGAAUUCAUGCAGUCAACAGGAAGGGAUGUUUUUUCUCCAUUCCAAGAAUUAACGAGACCAGAAAAACUCAGGCAUGAUUUCAAUGCAAAAUGACCAAGGCUACAUUUUAUC